AAUGGGCGCAAGCCUGAUGCAGCGACGGCCGCGUGAGGGAUGACGGCCUUCGGGUUGUAAACCUCUUUCAGUAGGGACGAAGCGAAAGUGACGGUACCUACAGAAGAAGGACCGGCCAACUACGUGCCAGCAGCCGCGGUAAUACGUAGGGUCCGAGCGUUGUCCGGAAUUACUGGGCGUAAAAAGCUCGUAGGUGGUUUGUCGCGUUGUUCGUGAAAACUCACAGCUUAACUGUGGGCGUGCGGGCGAUACGGGCAGACUAGAGUACUGCAGGGGAGACUGGAAUUCCUGGUGUAGCGGUGGAAUGCGCAGAUAUCAGGAGGAACACCGGUGGCGAAGGCGGGUCUCUGGGCAGUAACUGACGCUGAGGAGCGAAAGCGUGGGUAGCGAACAGGAUUAGAUACCCUGGUAGUCCACGCCGUAAACGGUGGGUACUAGGUGUGGGUUUCCUUCCUUGGGAUCCGUGCCGUAGC
rnacentral:rRNA from 1 species